rnacentral:lncRNA from 1 species
AUUUGCUCAUAUACUACAAUUGUCAUCCAUAGGGUUUAAUUUGUGUGUCAAGUUAUUCUCCUCUUCUUUGAGCAUCAGCUGUUCAUCCAUGUUUUGGCUUGGUUUGGAUGUCUUGGGUUCACCUCCAACCUCCAUAGCACUUUCCAAAGUGAUAGCAUCAUGGAUUUCAAAAUCUUCCUUCAAAUUUUCAAUAGUUGAGUUGGAGAGUUCACUUUGCUCUUGAAUUUGUGCCGUGAACUCCAUAAUCUCUCCAAGUUGAUUUUUUCAAUUCGCUCAUCUCCUUAGCUUGAUUGAGCAUUGUUUCAUUUUGAUUUUGCUGCCCCUGCACCAAAAAGCUUAGUAAUUGAAAAUUUUGAUCACUAUCCGUGGGCAUACUUGAAUUUGAUUGGAAUUGUUAUAGGGGAAGCUGUGGUGGCUGCAUAGGUGUUAAAUAAAACUCCUCAGAUUGCUGCCAAUAUCCAUCUUGUUGAGCCUCCUUGGCUUGAUUUUGUGAGCCCUGCACCAAAGAAUUUAUUUCAUCAAAAAUUCGAUCAUAAUCUAUUAACAUACCUGAGUUUGAUUGAGCAUAUUAUAUAUGAGGUUGUGAUGGCUGCAUAGGUCUUGAAUAGAACUCCUAUUCUUACUGCCAAUAUCCACCUUGUUGGAAUUGAUGAGGUUCUAUGUAAUCUGAAUAAUCUUUCCAAUCCGAAUUGUAAGCAUUGGAAAACAUGUUGUCCCAUGAUUGGCUAUGGCCUUGAUAACCCCAAGCAUCUUCAUUCACAGCGAAUUGAGAACAUUGAUGAGUUGGAUAUCCUUGCCCAUAGAACAUUCCACAUGUAGGGACAUUCGGCAUAUUGUGACAAUUAAGAAGUAAGUUUCGCCAAUUGAGCUUGAAUGGUAGCAAAAUCCAUGUCUUACUUCUCUAGUACCUGAAAUCAACAAAACUAAAUCAAAUAUCAAAAGUAAAAAUAAAAGACACAAGCAGAAACAAAGUCAGUAACUAAAACAAACGAAACGAAAAAGAAAUAACGAGGGAUUAGCAAAGUUGCUAAUCCCCAUCAACGGCGCCAAAAACUUGGUGUGAAAAUUAACUUAACACACAAAUUUAACCCUCUUUUGACAACUGUAGUAUGAGUAUAAGUAGGGAUCGUUCUGGAUCGAGGAUUAGGAGGGCUUGCUAAUAGCCUCUACACUGAAUCAAAAACAUAAAACUAAACUUAAAAAUACUUAACAAGACUCACAAGACUCAAAGCAAACUUAAAAUACUCAAAACAACUUAAAACAACUAAAUAAACUUAAACUAGACACUAGGAAUGACUUUGGACGAAAAUUGACUUUUACUUGAAUCAAAACAUUUAAAAACACAAAUUAAAACAGAUUCUAAGUAAUUAGACACACUAAAGUAAAGGGGGAUGGAGUUUUGGACGAAGUUGAAACAAACAAACAAGUAUGAAAAACUAGACAGAUUGUAAAACGAAUUUGAGAAAUAAGAUGACGGAUGGGAUAGCUAGAGGCUUUUUCUCCACACAUGAUAUGUAUGCAAACAACUCGAUUUCCAGUUACUACUUCAUUGAAUUAUGAAUGACAAUGCUCCAAAUUAACCGUGACAUCACUAGUUAACUCUCAGAUUUUCCUUGUUUUAUUGGAUUGGAUGACAUCAUUCGACAACCCAAAACAUUCUUCAAAAGUUCCAUACAUGACAUCAUAAUAGAGAUACAAUCAAAGAUCAUUACGUUUAAUGAAAAUCAUAAGUAUUGACAAAGCACUUGCAACUAUGACAUCAUGUCACUCAUUCUAGGAAUUGAACUUAACGUGAUCGUUUAUAAGCGACUUUCACUACAUGUGAAUAUAAGUUUGUAACGAUUAUGUGAAACUUCCUUAUAUUCUAGCAACGGAUUUAUG